CUGGCUCAAGCCCCCACCCCCCGCCGCUUCUCCUUCACCCAAAUCCAGACAGCUGAUAUUCUGAGAGAGCUGCAAAAUAUGGAUCCCUACAAAUCAGCUGGGCUAGACAAUCUAGACUCUCUCUUCCUAAAAUUAUCCGCCGCCAUUGUUGCAACCCCUAUUACUAGUCUGUUCAACCUCUCUUUCGUAUCGUCUGAGAUUCCUAAAGAUUGGAAAGCGGCAGCGGGCAUCCCACUCUUCAAAUGGGGAGACACUCUAGACCCAAACUGUUAUAGAUCUAUAUCCAUCCUACCCUGCCUUUCUAAAGUCUUCGAAAGCCAAGUGAACAAACAGAUCACCGACCAUUUCAAAUCCCACCGUACCUUCGCCGCUAAGCAAUCCGGUUUCCGAGCUGUUCACAGAUGCACCUCAGUCAUGCUCAAGGUCCUAAACGAUAUCAUAACUGCCAUCGAUAAAAGACAGUACUGUGCAGUCAUCUUCAUCGACCUGGCCAAGGCUUUCGACUCUGUCAAUCACCACAUUCAUAAUUUGUAAAUAAAUAAAUAAAAAAUCCUACAAUGUGAUUUUCUGGAUUUUUUUCUUCUCAUUUUGUCUGUCAUAGUUGAAGUGUACCUAUGAUGAAAAUUACAGGCCUCUCUCAUCUUUUUAAGUGGGAGAACUUGCACAAUUGGUGGCUGACUAAAUACUUUUUUGCCCCACUGUAUAUAUCAAUGAUGCUGCUCUUGUUGUGGGUGAUUCUUUGAUCUACCUCUAUGCAGCCGACACCAUUCUGUAUACAUCUGGCCCUUCUUUGGACACGGUGUUAACAAACCUCAAAACGAGCUUCAAUGCCAUACAACACUCCUUCGGUGGCCUCCAACUGCUCUUAAAUGCUGGUAAAACUAAAUGCAUGCUCUUCAACCUAUUGCUGCUCGCACCUGCCCGCCCGUCCAGCAUCCCUACUCUGGACGGUGUCGUGGAAAUUUCCUCUAUUUACCAAAUCAUGGGAGCAAACCACACACACACGUCAGAGUUAGUUAUAAAAGUCCAUCUUUAAUUAUAUGAGCUCUUAUCACAAUCCCGUGACUCUCAGAUAAAUUCAGUGUCUCCCCAGUGAAUUUUCUGAGAGUCCCCUUACAAUGCAACUGAGUUCCUUUAAUAGCAAAGACACCCAUAGUCAGACAGCAUAGACAUAAUUCAUCGUUCAGCUUUGUCUCCUUCCCCAAACCCCAGAACCAUAAACCAAAUCCUCCAUAUCAACAGGCAUAUAUCAAAUUGUCAUUUAUAUACAACCCACUCUAAACACAAACUCCUGGACAAACUCACGGAUAGGAGGUGAGGCUAUAGAUUACGAUAGAAACAACAAUAAGAGGGAGCAUAGAAUGAUUCCAGACACUGCAACCCCUCCUUUCCCCACUGGGAAAGUUAGGGAGUAUAAGAUAUGUUUACACAUGAUGACACUUUGACCUCUCCCCUCUCAUGUGGCCCAUGCAACUUAGUCCUGACAUAGAACAGAUAACUGCCAAUGGCCACCACUAUAGUACAACAAAAUACAUUCUUAUGAGAAGUAAUUUACACACAUUUGAUGAAUAUUAAACAUCUUACAAAUGUUACCAACAUAUUCUGAUAAUUCCACGACAACGGUUCUGAUUUAGAAUAUGUGGACAACUAUAAAUACCUAGGUGUCUGGCAAGACUGCAAACUCUCCUUCCAGACUCAUAUUAAGCAUCUCCAAUCCAAAAUUAAUUCUAGAAUCGGCUUACUAUUUCACAACAAAGCCUCCUUCACUCAUGCUGCCAAACAUACCCUCGUAAAACUGACUAUCCUAUCGUUCCUUGACUUAGGCAAUGUAAUUUACAAAAUAGCCUCCAACACUCUACUCAGCAAAUUAGAUGCUGUCUAUCACAGUGGCAUCAAUUUUGUCACCAAAGCCCCAUAUACUACCCACCACUGCGACCUGUAUGCUCUCGUUGGCUGGCCCUCGCUACAUAUUCGUUGCCAAACCCGAUGGCUCCAGGUCAUCUAUAAGUCUUUGCUGGGUAAAGCUCCGCCUUAUCUCAGCUCACUGGUCACCAUAGGAACGUAGAAUGCGCUCCAGCAGGUAUAUUUCAAUGGUCAUCCCCAAAACCAACACCUAUUUUGGCUGCCUUUCCUUCCAGUUCUCUGCUGCCAAUGACUGGAAUGAAUUGCAAAAAUCACUGAAGUUGGAGACUUAUAUCUCCCUCACUAACUUUAAGCAUCAGCUGUCAGAGCAGCUUACCGAUCGCUGCAGCUGUACACAAUCUAUCUGUAAAUAGGGGGCUAGGGUCAGUCUGUUAUAUCUGGAGUAUUUCUCCUGUCUUAUCCGGUGUCCUGUGUGAAUUGAAGUAUGCUCUCUCUAAUUCUUUCUUUCUUUCUAUCUUUCUUUCUUUUUUUCUCUCUCGGGGGACCUGAGCCCUAGGACCAUGCCUCAGGACUACCUGGCAUGAUGAUCCCCAGUCCACCUGGCCGUGCUGCUGCUCCAGUUUCAACUGUUCUGCCUGCAGCUAUGAAACCCUGACCUGUUCACCAGACGUGCUACCUGUCCCAGACCUGCUGUUUUCAACUCUCUAGAGACAGCAGGAGCGGUAGAGAUACUCUCAAUGAUCGGCUAUGAAAAGCCAACUGACAUUUACUCCUGAGGUUUUGGCCUUUCUAGGGAGUUUUUCCUAGCCACUGUGCUUCUACACCUGCAUUGCUUGCUGGCUUUAGGCUGGGUUUCUGUACAGCACUUUGAGAUAUCAGCUGAUGUAAGAAGGGCUAUAUAAAUAAAAUUGAUUUGAUUUGAAAUAGCCCAUCCAUCUAACAACCUACCCCAUCGCCAUAUUUGUUUUUCUGCACACCAGUAUUUAUAAUUGCACAUCCUCAUCUGCAAACUCCAGUGUUAAUUGCUAAAUUGUAAUUACUUUGCCACUAUGGCCUAUUUAUUGCCUUACCUCCUUACUUCAUUUGCACACACUGUAUACAGAUUUUUCUAUUGUGUUAUAGACUGUAUGCUUGUUAAUUCCAUGUGUAACUCUUGUUUGUUGUUUUUGUCGCACUGCUUUGCUUUAUCUUGGCCAGGUCGCAGUUGUAAAUGAGAACUCAACUGGCCUACCUGGUUAAAAAAAGGUUAAAUAAAAAAUUUUAAUAAAAAUGUG